CAAAGGGCAUCGAACGUAAUUUAUUUUGUAAAUGAACGCAGCUAUAUUUUAUUGUUGAUAUAGUCACACGUACGGCUGUGCUUGGGCAUUGGGACAUUUAUAAGCCGUUACAAAUAUUAGUGUCAAAAGUGAAUUUUAAUAUACUAUAUUUAAAAUCAAUAUUACAUUCACCUAUGAUUUUCUUAAAACUAAAACCGAGAGCAUCCCAUUGACUCUGCAGAUCUAGAUGACCAGCAGUUUAGUGAUGCUUGCUCGUCUGUCUAGUUUUUACGGCAAAACAGAAAGUCUCAGUUUCAAAUUUCAGUCGGACCUGAUGUUUUUUUUUAAUGUACGAAAGAGAUCAGCCAGGUGAGAGUACGAGAAAGGGAGCUUUUGCGGUUUUGUAAGAUUGGUGUCCCUUGAACUAUAAGGGUAAAGAAAUAAAGUUUCCUUUAACAGUGACAGUUGUGGCGGGAGUACUUUUUUAAUUUAGUAUUUUUAAAGUUUAAAUUAUUCUUGCUCAAUUUAUGGAUAGGAGCAUAUCGUGUCGGGUCGAUGUUUUGCGAUUUAUAUCAAUAACAAUUAUAAGGCAGUUUUAAAAAUAUGUACCGCAUCCAAUCCAAUAUUCAUACGAAGCUUAGUGAUUUGAUACUAGAACAGACGAUACACAAUGAUCUAGUGAAAAUUAAUUCAUCGCAGAGUUUAUUACGAAACUAAUUCUAACUUGAAAUAGUUUGUUUAUUUACAUGCUUAGAAUGAAAGUCAAUCAAUUAAAUAUUUAUCUAUAUAAAGUAACUAGUGUCCGCCCGCGGCAUCGCUCGCAUGUAAGGAGGAAGAGAUGUGGAAGUACCAUUCUCUGUAUCCCUGUCAACGUGUAUGCAAAAUUUGACAGUUCGCUUUUGCAAUUAUAAUAUAAGGAAGUAAGAAUAGUAAUGUUAUCCCUCAUAGCAAGGAGCUAGACGAAGCUGUUGCUUUAUUACAAUCUGGAAGUUUAUGUUAAUUAAAUAUCACAAUAUGUAUUUCAAAAUAUACCCUCAUAAUAAAGUUUUGUUCACAAUCAUUUCGACAUCGACCUUCAAUUAAGUCGAACGUGUUUCAUUAAUUGCUUCAAUUUUAUCUAAAUAGUAAGCAAAAUAAAAUGUGAAAAGAUU